rnacentral:rRNA from 1 species
AUUGAACGCUAGCGGCAUGCUUAACACAUGCAAGUCGAACGGCAGCGCGAGGAGCUUGCUCCUUGGCGGCGAGUGGCGGACGGGUGAGUAAUGCGUAGGAAUCCACCUUAAAGUGGGGGAUAACCCGGGGAAACUCGGGCUAAUACCGCAUAAUCUCUACGGAGCAAAGCAGGGGACCUUCGGGUCUUGUGCUGUAAGAUGAGCCUACGUCGGAUUAGCUAGUUGGUGGGGUAAAGGUCUACCAAGGCGACGAUCCGUAGCUGGUCUGAGAGGACGAUCAGCCACACUGGGACUGAGACACGGCCCAGACUCCUACGGGAGGCAGCAGUGGGGAAUAUUGGACAAUGGGGGCAACCCUGAUCCAGCAAUGCCGCGUGUGUGAAGAGGGCCUUCGGGUUGUAAAGCACUUUCAGUGGGGAAGAAAGAACCAAAAUUAAUACUUUUGGGUGUUGACGUUACCCACAGAAGAAGCACUGGCUAACUCUGUGCCAGCCGCCGCCGUAA